rnacentral:RNase_MRP_RNA from 1 species
UGAGUCUUCCAUGCUUGUCUCUCGGGGCCACAAAACGAGUUCCUGGUAACUCCACUGGUAUUGCCCUGGGCGAAAGUCCCCGGGCCUAGGAUAGAAAGUAUCAAGGUGUAAAACGUGCAUCCCUCAGGUUGAUGAGUUCUUGCAUUCGCCUAUAUUCUGCGGAAUUUCGCCUGGCGUAUGGAUGAAGAGGAUCUAUCCGAAUCCUUUGCGUCAGGUUGUCUGCGGAAAUCUGCCAGAGUAUCUUAGAUAUGGACGAGUUGGUAGGACUCGCCGGGCGGAGUUCACGCUCUCUCGGCUGAGAAACCGCCUACACAGAAUGGGGCUUACAUUGGGAAACUC